CCAAUAGCGUAUAUUAAAGUUGUUGCAGUUAAAAAGCUCGUAGUUGAAUUUCGGGAUCAGUACGCUGGUCGUGCCUCCGGUAUGUACUGGUGUCACUGAUUCCUCCCUUCUGAAGAACCAUCAUGCCAUUCACUUGGUGUGGUGGGGAAUCAGGACUGUUACUUUGAAAAAAUUAGAGUGUUUAAAGCAGGCUCGCGCUUGAAUACAUUAGCAUGGAAUAAUGAAAUAGGACGUUUAUCCUAUUUUGUUGGUUUCUAGGAUUGACGUAAUGAUUAAUAGGGAUAGUUGGGGGCAUUAGUAUUCAAUUGUCAGAGGUGAAAUUCUUGGAUUUAUUGAAGACUAACUACUGCGAAAGCAUUUGCCAAGGAUGUUUUCAUUAAUCAAGAACGAAAGUUAGGGGAUCGAAGACGAUCAGAUACCGUCGUAGUCUUAACCAUAAACUAUGCCGACUAGGGAUCGGAUGAUGUUAAUUUUUUAAUGACUCAUUCGGCGCCUUACG
rnacentral:rRNA from 1 species